rnacentral:ncRNA from 2 species
UAACAGGACUCUGGAGAGAGGCCCCGUCGUCAGACAGGGCACGCCGAAGGGAUAACAAUCUCAGGCGACAAGGACAGAGGGGGCUCA